UGUACGUGUCAUGUAUGGUAGUGACGCACAGCGCAUAAACUUCAUUGAAACAUGGCGGCUCACUAUGAGUUUCAUUGCAUGGACGUCAGGUACAGACGAAGAGACGGAGAGAAUUGAAAAUUAAACCAUGCACUUGUCAAUUCAAGCUUUCACCGAAAGACGACUAUGAAAUGUUAUAACUACAUACGAGACCAACAAAUUGUCUUCGUCUAUUUCAGAUUUUCGGAAGUGAGAGGACAGAUUUUGGCAGGAUAAUUCUCUUUCAGGAUCUAAAGAUUUAGCGGAUUGCUCGGUUACGGCUUAGAUGCAAGUGCAAGUAAUUACAGCCGUGAUGCUCUAGACUCCGCUGUUGAUUAAGGAUGCAAGACAAACAGUUGAGAAGUACCCAUGGAAAUUGGAUUGCUCAAGGA